rnacentral:rRNA from 1 species
GACGAACGCUGGCGGCGUGCCUAAUACAUGCAAGUCGAACGAGAGCGACCGGUGCUUGCACUGGUCAAUCUAGUGGCGAACGGGUGAGUAACACGUGGGUAACCUGCCCAUCAGAGGGGGAUAACAUCCGGAAACGGAUGCUAAAACCGCAUAGGUCUUCGAGCCGCAUGGCUUGAAGAGGAAAAGAGGCGCAAGCUUCUGCUGAUGGAUGGACCCGCGGUGCAUUAGCUAGUUGGUGAGGUAACGGCUCACCAAGGCCGUGAUGCAUAGCCGACCUGAGAGGGUGAUCGGCCACAUUGGGACUGAGACACGGCCCAAACUCCUACGGGAGGCAGCAGUAGGGAAUCUUCCGCAAUGGACGCAAGUCUGACGGAGCAACGCCGCGUGAGUGAAGAAGGUUUUCGGAUCGUAAAACUCUGUUGUUAGAGAAGAACAAGUGCUAGAGUAACGGUUAGCGCCUUGACGGUAUCUAACCAGAAAGCCACGGCUAACUACGUGC